rnacentral:rRNA from 1 species
CGGCGAUUUCCGAAUGGGGAAACCCAGUGUGUUUCGACACACUAUCAUUAACUGAAUCCAUAGGUUAAUGAGGCGAACCGGGGGAACUGAAACAUCUAAGUACCCCGAGGAAAAGAAAUCAACCGAGAUUCCCCCAGUAGCGGCGAGCGAACGGGGAGCAGCCCAGAGCCUGAAUCAGUGUGUGUGUUAGUGGAAGCGUCUGGAAAGGCGCGCGAUACAGGGUGACAGCCCCGUACACAAAAAUGCACAUGCUGUGAGCUCGAUGAGUAGGGCGGGACACGUGGUAUCCUGUCUGAAUAUGGGGGGACCAUCCUCCAAGGCUAAAUACUCCUGACUGACCGAUAGUGAACCAGUACCGUGAGGGAAAGGCGAAAAGAACCCCGGCGAGGGGAGUGAAAAAGAACCUGAAACCGUGUACGUACAAGCAGUGGGAGCCUCUUUAUGGGGUGACUGCGUACCUUUUGUAUAAUGGGUCAGCGACUUAUAUUCUGUAGCAAGGUUAACCGAAUAGGGGAGCCGAAGGGAAACCGAGUCUUAACUGGGCGUUAAGUUGCAGGGUAUAGACCCGAAACCCGGUGAUCUAGCCAUGGGCAGGUUGAAGGUUGGGUAACACUAACUGGAGGACCGAACCGACUAAUGUUGAAAAAUUAGCGGAUGACUUGUGGCUGGGGGUGAAAGGCCAAUCAAACCGGGAGAUAGCUGGUUCUCCCCGAAAGCUAUUUAGGUAGCGCCUCGUGAAUUCAUCUCCGGGGGUAGAGCACUGUUUCGGCAAGGGGGUCAUCCCGACUUACCAACCCGAUGCAAACUGCGAAUACCGGAGAAUGUUAUCACGGGAGACACACGGCGGGUGCUAACGUCCGUCGUGAAGAGGGAAACAACCCAGACCGCCAGCUAAGGUCCCAAAGUCAUGGUUAAGUGGGAAACGAUGUGGGAAGGCCCAGACAGCCAGGAUGUUGGCUUAGAAGCAGCCAUCAUUUAAAGAAAGCGUAAUAGCUCACUGGUCGAGUCGGCCUGCGCGGAAGAUGUAACGGGGCUAAACCAUG